rnacentral:ncRNA from 2 species
UCGUAACAAGGUCUCCGUUGGUGAACCAGCGGAGGGAUCAUUACCGAGUUUACAACUCCCAAACCCCUGUGAACAUACCACUUGUUGCCUCGGCGGAUCAGCCCGCUCCCGGUAAAACGGGACGGCCCGCCAGAGGACCCCUAAACUCUGUUUCUAUAUGUAACUUCUGAGUAAAACCAUAAAUAAAUCAAAACUUUCAACAACGGAUCUCUUGGUUCUGGCAUCGAUGAAGAACGCAGCAAAAUGCGAUAAGUAAUGUGAAUUGCAGAAUUCAGUGAAUCAUCGAAUCUUUGAACGCACAUUGCGCCCGCCAGUAUUCUGGCGGGCAUGCCUGUUCGAGCGUCAUUUCAACCCUCAAGCACAGCUUGGUGUUGGGACUCGCGUUAAUUCGCGUUCCUCAAAUUGAUUGGCGGUCACGUCGAGCUUCCAUAGCGUAGUAGUAAAACCCUCGUUACUGGUAAUCGUCGCGGCCACGCCGUUAAACCCCAACUUCUGAAUGUUGACCUCGGAUCAGGUAGGAAUACCCGCUGAACUUAAGCAUAUC